CUUUAAAUGAUUGUGUCCUAAUAAGAGGACCUGAUGGUGUGACAGCAAGUACCUUCUUCAAACUGUGCUGUCAAUUUACGUCUCAUUCUUUUUCUGUACUCUGGUCUGACAAACUAAAUAAAAUAUUGAAAACUCACACAGUUGAUCACUACAUAUACUAUUUAAUUAAUGAAUCAUACCCUCUGGUGCAUCACACCCAAUGGUGAUGACAAAUCUUCCACACAUGUAGUGAACUUUGAU